rnacentral:RNase_P_RNA from 1 species
GCGGAGGGUCGGAUGGCCGCUGCGGCGGGUUCCCCGCCGGAGAGGAAAGUCCGGACUCCCUGAAGUAACGGUGCCGGGUAACGCCCGGGCGGGUUUGGCGGGUUCCCUGCCGGGUCCGACGGAAAGCGCCACAGAGAACAGACCGCCCUGCAUGCAGGGUAAGGGUGAAACGGUGGGGUAAGAGCCCACCGCGCCUCUGGCAACAGGGGUGGCACGGCAAGCCCCACCGGGAGCAAUGCCGAAUAGGACCCCCGCGCGGGCCGGUCUCGGCAACGGGAUACCGCCGCUAGGUACGCUUCAGCCGAGAGGGGUCGGGUUGGCAGCUAAAGGCCUGCGGCAACGCCGGUCAUAGAGGAAUGGUCAUCGAAGGGGGCAACCCCGGAACAGAAUCCGGCUUACAGGCUCUCCGCGCGC